GCGGCCAGAAAACACCAAAGUAUUAUAAAAUGUAAAUACAUCGUUAUCGUCUAAAAUUAGUAAAAUAAUAGGUACAAAGUUUUUUCGUUUCGUUUCCAAGAAUCAAGAACAUAUAUUUUUAACUUUGUCGAAUCACGAUACCUUAUAUAGUACAGUCAGUCCUACGUAUGUACCUACUACCUAAUAGAUUGUAGAGAAUAUGGAUGAAAACAAAAAAACGAAAAUGCCAUUUAACAUAGUGCCUAUCACUGAUAACAAUAGUCAAGAUGUGUUGAGUUUCAUAGAAAAGUAUUUUAUCCUAGAUGAACCUUUAAAUGCAAGUGUAGCAUUAUUUGAAGAAAAAGAUACAUUAAUAAAAUAUAAAGAUAUUUGCUGCAAUUUGUUUAAUAAUGGAUUAUCAUUUAUGGCAGUAUCUGAAACUGGUGAAAUGAUGGGUGUCACACUCAAUCGCACAAUGUGUAAAGAUGAUCUAAUUGUUCAAUACCGUAACGAGAACUUUGUUUGAAAUUCAAAGUAUGAUGCCAUUGAGGUUUUCCUAUACAGAAUGCGGCGAGAUGUUGAUCUAUAUGAGAAUUAUCCAAACGUAGAUCGUAUAAUGGAAUUAAGAAUGAUUGCAGUUAGUGAGAAAUACAGAGGACAAGGCGUUUGCAAAGCUCUCAUCAACAAAUCAAAGUAUUAAACAUAUUGAGUAUAUCUAUUUAUUUAAAAUAUAACAAUUUCUGGAUAGUUAAAAGAACAUAUUAUGUUAAAUACGUAUAAACCCUGUUUAUAGCAGUACUAGGAAAGUUAACUUGAAAAUGUAAUUCGUAGACGAUCACUUUUUCCCUUAAGGAACACGUUCAUUUUCAAGUUUUAAAAAAAAACAUAUGUUUUAUUUAAACAACCUAAAUCGUUCAAGUUUCUUAAAAAUACGAAUUUGGUUUACGUUCGGGUUCUGUUUUAUAUAAGUGAACGACACGCAUUCGCAUUACAUUUUUGUUUAUACAUCUUAAUGUACUAUUAUAUAUCUAAUGUGCUAUAUUAUUUAUCUUGAAACAUAUAUUUAUUAUUCAACGGUAUAGUAUCUAUUGAACAAGGUGCAGUAGAAAGAUUCAUACGCAUUGAAGUGAACACUUUAACCCUGAUAAUUAUAACAACUAAAAAAAAUUUAACAAUAAUUUGUCUAUAAAAUAAUUUUAAUAACUCGAACUCACAGAAGCAUUAUUGAUUUUUGAUCGCAUUUGCCGAUCAAUACCAAUAGCAACAACGUACACGAAUCCACUCAGUCCAUGCAUCUACGGCAUUCAUGUUUCCGGCAUUUGUAAUAUAUAUAUUAUAAUAUAGUAUGAUUGAAAACUAAGUAAAAACGUACGAACGUACCGUCACGCAUCGUAACACACACAAAAAAAUUGUGAUUAAUUUAUCGUAAAGCACUAUACAAUCUACAUUAUACAUUUUUAAUUUCAUGUUCUGAAUUAAAAUGUUCUUGGGGUAUAUCUCGAGACAUAAAAAUCGAAUUUCAAACAAAUAGGUAGUAUCAUUGGUUAACUGUUUAACAGUAUUUUAGUUAUUGGUAAUAGUACCUACUUAAAUUUUCUUGAAAUAGUGUGAACACUCUUUUCUAUCACGUCUUGUUAUCAUCCGCCCAUCUAAAAACCUAAACAAUUUUCGAAAAAAUGCAUGUUUACCCUUAAAAAAAUCACCCUGUAUAUUUUAUAUUUUAAAGUUCAGCUGAGGCAGCUGUUGGAUCGUUCUUGGCAGCGAGGGGCGAAAGGAUUGUCUCUCGACCACCACCGCUGCCACCGCCGCCGCCACCGUCGUCCACGUCUACGUUGACGUAGACGUUUUGUAAGACACAGUUUUGUUCUGUUUUGGUUUGGUGUAAUUUUUUUUUCCUCCCGGAUUUGUCUAUUACACACGUCACAUUCCCAGCUGUUGACGAGAUUGUCGGCUAUACAGUAUAACAUGUAUAAGGUCCAUUUCGUACAUUUUGGCGCAUCGUGAAUCCAUCUCCGCCAACAACACCCGCGCGCCACAUACAGGGUGAUUUAUUUUUCAUGGUGAACCCGUGGACAAUACAUUUAUUUUUAUACUCGUUUGUAUGCCAGUGCUGAGAUUUUAUCCGAUUUUCUAACGGUGCACAUGUUUGAUUGACGCCAAAUUCCCAAAUGUAAAUUGCGUCACGCCCUCACGAGUAAACAAAAACAAUGGAAGACCAUACAAUUCCCAGUCGAAAUCACUGCAGUGUAUAAUAUGAUAUUAAUAUUUUGGAAAUCAAUAUAGUGCUUUAAUUUACGAUGUUUAUAAUCAUAACCCUCAACUGGUGCCACCUACAAUGCUACGUAAAUGGUAUAAUCGAGCCAAAUUUUACCAACAUAUAAUAUUAUAAAUCAUAGUUGGGUUUAUUAUGAAUUCUCAAAAAAAAAAAUUAUCUAUAUGAAUAUUCACAUAAAAUAAGCAGUACUUACUUAAAUUUUUUUUUCUGAUUUUACAUUGAUUUAAUGUAUAUUAUAUGAUAGGAAAAAUUAUGUUACACUCAAUUAUUAUUUAAUAGAUUGGUAUUUUAUUAUAAUAAAAUAAAACAGCAGAACUGACAAUUUUUAAUUUCAUACGAAUCCAUUAGUUAAUCGUCCAAAUACUCAUAUCUCAUAAUUUCAGAAGGUAAUAUUACAGAAUUGGAAGAAAUAAUACGCUGUAGAAUGAAGUUUCAAUAUUAUAAAUUAACUAGGACAGUGGCGUAGUCAAGAAUUUUGCACGGGAGGCUAGGGGUAUUUGUAAUUUUUUUUUUUCAAAUAGCAUAAUAAUAUAGCCUAUAAAAUAAACAUUGUCAAUGACGGUUCUGCUAUAGUCUCCUUAUAUAGAUCAGGUCAUUUUUGAUGGAAGAAUUCCAAUAUUAAGUCGAGGUUAAUUUUUUUACAACAACGUUUCUCAAACGAUUGUAUAUCGUGCCCACAGUAAACAAGUAGAAAAAAGAGUAAAGUCAAUCACGCCCGUCAUUUUUUGAUUUCUAAAAUUUGUUUAUUAUUUUUAACCCAUACUAUUGAUACGAAUACAAUUAUUGUGCUACAAUCAGUUAUUUAAAUUCAAAUUAAUAGUGGGUAUGGAUGAGCCUUAUACAUUUGAGUACACGAUUUCCUAAAAUAAUUUUCAAUCAAGAAAAACAGGUAUUGUUUACUAACACAAAAUUAAUCAUAUAAAUAUAUAGGUCCAUACUCAAUAUGUAAGGAUUAUGUCGUGUUAUUAUUGUAAUACCUACAAAUCAACUUUAUAUUUUAAUUUUUAGAACAGACAUGUAUACUUACAUAUAUAUUUUUUUCCGUUUUAAACAAACCAAAAAAUGUAAUUCGCUAAGCCGCGGAAUAUACGAUUCGAGAUUCCGCUACACUAUAUGUAUUAUAUUAGUAUAUUCGUAUAGGUACUAUUAUUAUUAUUAUUAUUAUUAUUAUUAUUAUUCCGACAUGGCCGCAUGUAACCUCGGAACUAUCUUUCUGUUGUGGUCAUCGUAAUAUUUUAGAAAAUGACAAAGCAAGAGUUACACACGAUGACCACUGCAAACGCGUAUCUCUUUGAAAUAUAGUAAUGUCAUUUAGUAAAUUAUAGUAAUUAUAACUUAUAAGAGGGACGUAUGCGUGCAGGCACACCGGGAAAACGACUAUUUUCGCAAACCAUUAUUAUAAAACAAAACAAAAAAGGACUACGCAGGCCUUGAAUGCCACUCAACAAUUAUAAAGAUCGGAAUUCGACAGAAUUUUUUUUCUUUUCUCAGACAAACAACAGCAGCUAGGACAUCAAACCGAUUUUAAUAUUUCAUUAUGAGUAAAUACUAGCAUUGAGCAUAUAUUAUUGUAUACAAUGUUUAAAAUGAAAGACAAUCAAUGUAUUUUAAUUCUUAAUAAUAUUAAUUUGGGAUGAAAUUAAAAGCAUAUUAACUAUUUAUUAUUUCACUCCCAUAUUUUAAUCAGUGAAUGAAGAAUUAUAAGAUAUAUAGGUACCUAAAUUUAUUGUGAACUGAAGGUCAAACAAAUAAUUAUAGUAGAAUAAUAUGAAUCGUAUAGUACCUAUAAAUACAAAGGUCUGCAAUAAUAUAAUUUUAAGUACCUAUUUACUUUUAAUAACUUGUAAUUCUUUCACCAUUAGAAAUCUAAAUUAUCCCUGAGUAUUAUAGGAUAUAUUUAUUGCUGGAAAAAAUUAUGGAAUCCUACUAAAACUUCAAUAAUGUCCAUUUUUUGUAUGUACGCGCAUAUCUCGAAAAGUACUCAACGGAUUUUAAUACGGUUUUCACUAAUAAAUAGAUUGAGUCACAGGCAAUGUUUUAAUGUAUAAUUUAAUGUAUUAAUUAGGCGGUUAAAAAUAAUAAAAAUAAUAUCUAUAUAUAUAAAUGAAUGUUUGUCUGUAUGUCCUUUGUGCAUUCCUAAGCCACUACCGAUUUCGAUGACAUUUUUUGUGUGUUUGAGUGGUUCCCUGGAUGAUUUAGAUCCACAAUUCAACCCGGGGAGGUGCUCAAACAGGGAUUUUGAGUAUUACGAUGGAAAUUUUUGUUUAUAAAUGCCAAAUAGUUGCUAUUGGUUAUAGGAGAAAUAAUAAUUAGUAGUAAAUCAGUAUUUUAUUUGUAUACCGGUUGCCAUUGGUUAAUCGGGCAGAUCAAGCAAAUGCAAUAUACGCGUACAAUAUUACAAUCGAAUUUUCGCAAAAUGCCUACUUGAUAUGCUGUUGCACAUUGUCCACGAUCCUGCCUUUAUCAAUCGCUUCAAGCUUGAUAUGGUUAAAUUUAAUUUUUUGAGCUCUAACGUGUGUUAUUUUACCACAGCGACCAAAUGAGGAGUAUAUUAUAUUGGGUAGGUAUACAUUAUAUUUUAGAAGAGAUGAAAAAAGCCAGACUUUGUUAAAACAAUUUAUACUUUAUAGACACAAAGACUUACGUGGUACGCGUAGGUACCUUGGGGAGAUUCAUUACCCUUGCAAAUUGCUAAUAUCAAAAGUGCAUUAUAUUCUGUACACGAACACAGGUACCUACGCGCCAAUUAUAAGUUCGCGUACCUAUAUAAACUUGAGUAAUUCAUUUUUAUUCGUACUCGGCUCCUUGCAUUGACUCGCGUAUGAUCUAUAAUUGCACUUUUCGAGUGCGCCGCAGAGUAUGAAUAAUAAUAGAAUAUACCCAAAUACUAUAAUAUAUAGUGUAUAUGUAUACCUACCUAAUAUUGUUUGAAAACGCGAUCCAAAAACUGUGCAGGAUCGUAUCGACAUUUAAUCAAACGGUGAGGUCAAAGUAUAUUAAUAUAAUACAAUAAAUUGCGUCAAAAAUAAUAAAUGCACCCAAAGAGGACGGUACUUACACAAUAUUUACAGCCUUGAUGUAAUUAUAUUGGCAUCGUUUGAAAUACUAUAUUUUUAUUACGUAACCUAUUGAUUUAGUUUUCAAUCGAUUAAUGUUUUUUAAUUGUCUCACUCACACAACACACGCGUUUCUGAUUGCAAUAAUAAUAUAUGAGCUGGCUGAAAAGGCCCUGUAAUAAAUUUCGUAUGGAGUUCGAUUAAUAGAGUGACAAUUAUUUGACAUAGUUAUCGACCAUUAAGCCGACUAAUUAUCAUUUUACUUUGGGUUAAUGUAAAUAUUAUGUCGUUAUUCUCACCGUAUACGUGUAUACACAUUAUAAUAGUUUAUAACGAUUAAUGAAAGUUUGAACAAACGAGAGAGAUGAAUACAAUUGUUAUUAUUAAUAGGUAUGAAAAACUAUUAAUUAUCUAUAGUAAAUGAUUAAAAUGUUCCAAAAAAU